UACGGAGGAUCCGAGCGUUAUCCGGAUUUAUUGGGUUUAAAGGGUGCGUAGGUGGCCUGGUAAGUCAGUGGUGAAAGUUUUCGGCUUAACCGGAAAAUUGCCAUUGAUACUGUCGGGCUUGAAUUCAGAUGAGGUAGGCGGAAUGUGUCAUGUAGCGGUGAAAUGCAUAGAUAUGACCCAGAACACCGAUUGCGAAGGCAGCUUACUAAACUGAGAUUGACACUGAGGCACGAAAGCGUGGGGAUCAAACAGG
rnacentral:rRNA from 1 species